ACGGGUGAGUAACACGUGGGUGACCUGCCUUCGAGUGGGGGAUAACGUCCCGAAAGGGACGCUAAUACCGCAUGACAUCCUGCCUUUGAAGAGGUGGAGCUUAAAGCUGGGGAUCGCAAGACCUAGCGCUUGAAGAGGGGCCCGCGCCUGAUUAGCUAGUUGGUGAGGUAACGGCUCACCAAGGCAACGAUCAGUAUCCGGCCUGAGAGGGCGGACGGACACACUGGGACUGAGACACGGCCCAGACUCCUACGGGAGGCAGCAGUGGGGAAUUGAUCGCAAUGGGCGCAAGCCUGACGACGCAACGCCGCGUGGAGGAUGAAGAUCUUCGGGUCGUAAACUCCUUUCGAUCGAGACGAACGGCCUCCGGGUGAACAAUCCGGAGGAGUGACGGUACCGAGAGAAGAAGCCCCGGCUAACUCCGUGCCAGCAGCCGCGGUAAUACGGGGGGGGCAAGCGUUGUUCGGAAUUACUGGGCGUAAAGGGCUCGUAGGUGGCCAACUAAGUCAGACGUGAAAUCCCUCGGCUUAACCGGGGAACUGCGUCUGAUACUGGAUGGCUUGAGGUUGGGAGAGGGAUGCGGAAUU
rnacentral:rRNA from 1 species